UGGUUUGGAGGUGUCAAGGUUUGGAAGUUUGAAGGUUUGAUGGUUUGAAGGUAAGAAAGUUUGAAGGUUUGAAGGUGAGAGAGUUUGAAGGUUUGAUGGUUUGAAGGUAAGAACGUUUGAAGGGUUGAUCAAUCAAUUCAAUCAAUCAAUCAAUCAAUCAAUUUUAUUUAUAAAGCCCAAUAUCACAAAUCACAAUUUGCCUCACAAUUUGCCUUGAUGGUUUGAAGGUGAGAAAGUUUGAAGGUUUGAUGGUUUGAAGGUGAGAAAGUUUGAAGGUUUGAUGGUUUGAAGGUGAGAAAGUGUGAAGGUUUGAUGGUUUGGAGGUGAGAAAGUUUGAAGGUUUGGAGGUUUGGGGAUUUGAAGGUGAGAAAGUUUGAAGGUUUGAUGGUUUGAAGGUGAGAAAGUUUGAAGGUUUGAUGGAUUGAAGGUGAGAAAGUUUGAAGGUUUGAUGGUUUGAAGGUGAGAAAGUUUGAAGGUUUAAAGGUUUGAUGGUGAGAAAGUUUGAAGGUUUGAUGGUUUGGAGGUGUCAAGGUUUGGAGGUUUGAAGGUGAGAAAGUUUGAAGGUUUGAUGGUUUGGAGGUUUGAAGGUUUGAAGGUGAGAAAGUUUGAAGGUUUGAUGGUUUGAAGGUGAGAAAGUUUGAAGGUUUGAUGGUUUGAAGGUGAGAAAGUGUGAAGGCUUGAUGUUUUGGAGGUGAGAAAGUUUGAAGGUUUGAUGGUUUGAAGGUGAGAAAGUUUGAAGGUUUGAUGGUUUGAAGGUGAGAAAGUUCGAAGGUUUAAAGGUUUGAUGGUGAGAAAGUUUGAAGGUGAGAAAGUUUGAAGGUUUGAUGGUUUGAAGGUUUGAUGGUUUGGAGGUGUCAAGGUUUGGAGGUUUGAAGGUGAGAAAGUUUGAAGGUUUGAUGGUUUGGAGGUUUGAAGGUUUGAAGGUGAGAAAGUUUGAAGGUUUGAUGGUUUGAA